UUGAAUUAUAAUAUUUAAAUAUGAAAAUUUUAUUAUUGGAAAAAAAAUGAAAAAUGAUUGUAACAUUUUAAUUUUGUCAAUCUGGAUAUAUAAACUUAUUCAUGGGUCAAGUUAUCUGCUCAGGUCUGAAAGUUUGUUUGACAUUUGAGAGAUUUUAGGUAAAAAUAUUAGGCUUGUGUAAAAAGCCCAAAUUUCCGGCCCACUCAAAACAGGCCCAAUUAACAACCCAAAAUCCUAAUUACCCUAGCCCAAUACAGACCCUAGCCCAAAAUCCAAAACAAGCCUUCAGAAACCCUAGUAGCAGUAGGCUUAGCGCCGCAGCCGCCUCGACCCAACGACGCAACGUUCUGCACGUUGGCUCUCCCUCGCGCACCUCCGCAAACGUCGCACACGCCGUACACGUCUCCUACGAAUCUGCAACAGAUCACAAACAGUAGAUAGCAAAAAAUAUAGCAAGAAUCAAGGGAUUUAUUUUGUUUUAUUAUUUCUCUAAGAUUCGGCUAUAAAACCGAAUGAUAAUAGUGGAAAAAUGGAAAGAAAAGAUUGAAAGAACAGAUUCGGAAAUUUUUGGAAUAAAAAAUGUCUUUUUUAUUUUUUCUUCGGUUCAUCAUUCUUAGUGAUUCGUUUUUUUUAUUUUUUUCCUUUUUAAUUUUAUUUUUGCUUAAGCUAUAAAGAAAAGAGGAGAAAACUUACCUUUUUUCGUCGGAGUUGUCGGAUCGUCGACGUCUCCGUCGCAAUCGGAGGCCAGGCCGAGAUCGGGGUUUGGAGCGGUGGCGGCGGCUAAAAGUUGGAACCCUAGCAGAGAAAGCUGGGGUUCAUUAGUUUUUGUUUUGAAG
rnacentral:lncRNA from 1 species